rnacentral:rRNA from 1 species
CAGGUCUUGACAUCCCACUGACCGGUUUAGAGAUAAGCCUUUCCCUUCGGGGACAGUGGUGACAGGUGGUGCAUGGUUGUCGUCAGCUCGUGUCGUGAGAUGUUGGGUUAAGUCCCGCAACGAGCGCAACCCUUGAUCUUAGUUGCCAGCAUUCAGUUGGGCACUCUAAGGUGACUGCCGGUGACAAACCGGAGGAAGGUGGGGAUGACGUCAAAUCAUCAUGCCCCUUAUGACCUGGGCUACACACGUGCUACAAUGGACGAUACAAAGGGCUGCAAACCCGCGAGGGGGAGCCAAUCCCAUAAAAUCGUUCUCAGUUCGGAUUGUAGGCUGCAACUCGCCUACAUGAAGCCGGAAUCGCUAGUAAUCGUGGAUCAGCAUGCCACGGUGAAUACGUUCCC